GGCUGCCCAGGGAGGUGGUGGCCUCACUGUCCCUGGGGGUGUUCAAGGAGAGGCUGGACGUGGUGCUUGGGGACAUGGUUUAGUGGGUGACAGUGGUGGUAGGGGGAUGGUUGGACCAGAUGAUCUUGGAGGUCUUUUCCAACCUUAACGACUCUGUGAUUUAUUUCCAUGGGGGCAAAGCGAGGUCCCCACAGCAUCAGAGCCUCAUGGGGACGGGCGGUGCCCACAGCGAUUCCCCCCUCAGCAGACCCCCUCAGCCCUCUGAGGCGGGGCGAGGGCAGGGCUGACAUGGCACCGCGCCCAGCCAAUAGCAGGGCCGAUCACGGUCCCGCCUCCGCCGCGCGGACCAAUGGGGAGGCGGGAGGGGGAGCGGGGCGGUGCUGUCCGUGAAGGUGACGGGGCCGGCGGCAAAAUGGCGGGCGCGGCGGGGCUGGGGAGGCGGCGCGCGGCGGUGGCCGGGCUGCUGUGGGCUUUGAAGUAUACAAGCCGUGGCUAUGCAUCACAGCGUACUUUAAAUGUAAGUAUAAAGUACCAUCUGAGCACAGUAAAUCCCUGCUAUAUUUGCUUCUUAACCUCUGAAGUUCAGAAAGUUAUCACAAGAAACCUGCGUUGUUGACAGCGUGUCUCUUGCCCAAGUCACGUUACUGCAAAAAUUGGAAUAAAGGUCAAAUUUCCCAAUUUUUUUUUGCUUUG
rnacentral:lncRNA from 1 species